rnacentral:rRNA from 1 species
GAUGAACGCUGGCGGCGUGCCUAAUACAUGCAAGUCGAGCGAACAGACGAGGAGCUUGCUCCUCUGACGUUAGCGGCGGACGGGUGAGUAACACGUGGAUAACCUACCUAUAAGACUGGGAUAACUUCGGGAAACCGGAGCUAAUACCGGAUAAUAUAUUGAACCGCAUGGUUCAAUAGUGAAAGACGGUUUUGCUGUCACUUAUAGAUGGAUCCGCGCCGCAUUAGCUAGUUGGUAAGGUAACGGCUUACCAAGGCAACGAUGCGUAGCCGACCUGAGAGGGUGAUCGGCCACACUGGAACUGAGACACGGUCCAGACUCCUACGGGAGGCAGCAGUAGGGAAUCUUCCGCAAUGGGCGAAAGCCUGACGGAGCAACGCCGCGUGAAUGAUGAAGGUCUUCGGAUCGUAAAACUCUGUUAUUAGGGAAGAACAAAUGUGUAAGUAACUAUGCACGUCUUGACGGUACCUAAUCAGAAAGCCACGGCUAGCUACGUG